rnacentral:rRNA from 1 species
AUUGAACGCUGGCGGAAUGCUUUACACAUGCAAGUCGAACGGCAGCACGGACUUCGGUCUGGUGGCGAGUGGCGAACGGGUGAGUAAUGUAUCGGAACGUGCCCAGUCGUGGGGGAUAACGUAGGGAAAAUUACGCUAAUACCGCAUACGAUCUAUGGAUGAAAGCGGGGGAUCGCAAGACCUCGCGCGAUUGGAGCGGCCGAUAUCAGAUUAGGUAGUUGGUGGGGUAAAGGCCCACCAAGCCAACGAUCUGUAGCUGGUCGGAGAGGACGACUAGCCACACUGGAACUGAGACACGGUCCAGACUCCUACGGGAGGCAGCAGUGGGGAAUUUUGGACAAUGGGCGAAAGCCUGAUCCAGCCAUUCCGCGUGCAGGAUGAAGGCCCUCGGGUUGUAAACUGCUUUUGUACAGAACGAAAAGGUUUCUACUAAUACUAGGAGCUCAUGACGGUACUGUAAGAAUAAGCACCGGCUAACUACGUGCCAGCAGCCGCCGUAA